GCCUGAGAAACGGCUACCACAUCCAAGGAAGGCAGCAGGCACGCAAAUUACCCAAUCCCAGCUCUGGGAGGUAGUGACGAAAAAUAACAAUGCGGGACUCUUCCGAGUCUGCGUAAUUGGAAUGAGUACACUUUAAAUCCUUUAACCACAACCAAUUGGAGGGCAAGUCUGGUGCCAGCAGCCGCGGUAAUUCCAGCUCCAAUAGCGUAUAUUAAAGUUGUUGCGGUUAAAAAGCUCGUAGUUCGAGUUCAGUUCCGGACUGGCUGGGGAGGUCACCGCCCGGUGCUUCCCCGUCAGGCUCCGAACAGCUUUUAUAAACUAAAAGCCAAGUCGGUUUCGCCGGGGUGCUCUUCACCGAGUGUCCCGCGCGGCCGGCCAGUUUACCUUGAAUAAAUGAGAGUGCUCAAAGCAGGCUACUCUUAAAAAUAAAGCCCGAAUGUUACCUGCAUGGAAUGAUGGAAGAUGAAUCUCGGUUCCAUUUUAUUGGCUCUGGGAAUCCGAGUUAAUGAUAAACAGGGACGGUCGGGGGCAUCCGUACUACGACGCGAGAGGUGAAAUUCAGUGACCGUCGUAGGACGAACAACAGCGAAAGCAUUUGCCAAGAAUGUCUUCGUUGAUCAAGAACGAAAGUUAGAGGAUCGAAGGCGAUCAGAUACCGCCCUAGUUCUAACCCUAAACGAUGCUGACUAGCAAUCCGCCGUCGUUAUUCCCAUGACGUGGCGGGACGCCCCCGGGAAACCAUAAGUCUUUGAGUUCCGGGGGUAGUAUGGUUGCAAAACUGAAACUUAAAGGAAUUGACGGAAGGGCACCACCAGGAGUGGAGCCUGCGGCUUAAUUUGACUCAACACGGGAAACCUCACCAGGCCCGGACACCAGAAGGAUUGACAGAUUAAGAGCUCUUUCUCGAUUUGGUGGGUGGUGGUGCAUGGCCGUUCUUAGUUGGUGGAGUGAUUUGUCUGGUUAAUUCCGGUAACGAACGAGACUCUGGCCUACUAAAUAGUCGACGGGCGUUUUUGUGCAUGGGCCCCGUUCGAUUAUGUCUUCUUAGAGGGAUGAGCAGCGAGUAUAGCUGCAGGAGAUUGAGCAAUAACAGGUCUGUGAUGCCCUUAGAUGUCCUGGGCCGCACGCGCGCUACACUGAAUGGGUUAGCGGGUUCUCCUUCUCCGAGAGGAGCGGGAAAUCGCGUGAAAACCAUUCGUGAUAGGGAUUGGGGCUUGCAAUUGUUUCCCAUGAACGAGGAAUUCCCAGUAAGCGCAAGUCAUCAGCUUGCGUUGAUUAAGUCCCUGCCCUUUGUACACACCGCCCGUCGCUACUACCGAUUGAAUGAUUUAGUGAGGCCUUCGGACUGGCGGUCUUGGACUGGGUUCCAUUUGCUAUCUAACUCCAGCGAUGGGGGGCAGUGGACUCGCCAUGACGAGACGGAAAGAUGUCCAAACUUGAUCAUUUAGAGGAAGUAAAAGUCGUAACAAGGUUUCC
rnacentral:rRNA from 1 species